rnacentral:lncRNA from 1 species
AUGGGAGUAUUCCUGUAUGUCCUGUCUACUACACAGCGUGUUCUCACAGCAAAAUGGGCUACCGUGCAUGAAAGCCCCUCAGUAACCAUAAACACAUCACUGGUGUCAUUGUCAUUGCAGAGGGACUGGGGAGUGAGGUGGCAUGCCUGGGGAGAAACACCCGUGAGGACAUGGCCCUCUUCGGCCCAGCCAGCUGGCAACCUGAACCCAGAGAAGAGAUCUAACAGCUUGGAAACAUGGACACGGGACCGGCAACAUGGCAACAGCCAACAGGCGGUGCUUUUCUCCGUGGCCAAGAAAUUCUGAGUGCUUUCCAUGUAUUAACUCAUCUAAUCUUCACACCAAUCCUGUGAUCACCCCAUUCUACAAAUGGGGAAACUGAGGCACAGAGAAGCCGUUUUCGAUGAUCCCACAAUUAGGAAGUGAUGGGGCCAGGAUUCAAGCCAAGACAGCCCAGCACUAGAGCUCUGCUCUCGACCGUCUCGCUCCUCUGCCUCUGUCGCUUGGGAACUCCAACCUCCCUGCCUCCUCUGGUACCCUGAAGCGGGGCAGCCAGUUCCGCCACCAAGCAGAACACUUAGCAGAGGUGUAGAAACACAGGCGGUUGAGGGUAAACUUCAAGUCAUCACCUCAAGGCAGGAAACUGGGCCCUGACUGCUGGGCCCUUCCUCCUGCUCCAAGGCAGCCCUCCCCCCUGUCCUCAUCAGCUCCAGCUUUAGGAGUUCCCACAACCAGAGUCAGCCCCAGGUCUAGAAAAGCCAAGGUGGUCUGGCCUCAAAGCAAAUGGCCCGCAUCCUGCAAUCCAGGUGGAAGGGUUUUGCAAGCCUACAACCGUGGCUGGCAACGCUCCUCUUAGCAUCUCUGAGGGACGCUUCUUACCUGUGAGCUGUAUCUUCCUGUCCUUGGCAAAGUAGAGAUCCAGCCAACCCCAAGACAGCUCCUUCCUAUGCAACCUGGUAAGACUUGCCAGAAACACUGCAUGCCACUGGAAUUCCCAAGUGAUCUCCCAUCCUCUGCUUGGAUGCUUCUAGGGACAGAGAGCUCACCACCUCAGAAGGCAGCUGAUCCACUAAGUAAUACCUAUGACCCAGUGUUUUUUAUCAUAAAACUCUCUGCAUGUUUACUUCCCCAGCUAUACUUAAAGCUCUGUAGAAACAAAACCAGGAUGAAGUCAUCCUAAAGUCUUGCAAAAUCUUUUAGAUAGAAAGUGCUUAAUAAAUUCUUGCUACUAGAGAUCUUAUCA